CAAUAGCGUAUAUUAAAGUUGUUGCGGUUAAAAGCUCGUAGUUGGAUUUCUGCUGAGGACGACCGGUCCGCCCUCCGGGUGAGCAUCUGGUUCGGCCUUGGCAUCUUCUUGGUGAACGUAUCUGCACUUGACUGUGUGGUGCGGUACCCAGGACUUUUACUUUGAGGAAAUUAGAGUGUUUCAAGCAGGCAUACGCCUUGAAUACAUUAGCAUGGAAUAAUAAGAUAGGACCUCGGUUCUAUUUUGUUUGGUUUCUUAGAGCUGAGGUAAUAGAUUAAUUAAGGGAGUAGUUGGGGGUCGAUUCGUAUUUAACUUGUCAGAGGUGGAAAUUACUUUGGUAUUUGUUUAAAGAACGGACUACUGCGAAAGACAUUUGUCCAAGGAUGUUUUCUAUUGAUCAAGAACGAAAGUUAAGGGGAGUCGAAGACGAUUAGAUACCA
rnacentral:rRNA from 1 species